AGCAGCCCUGAGGAGAGGUCCAUGUGACAGGGAUUGGGGGCCUCCUGCCAACAACCAGCACUAACUUUCCAAUGUUUUCUUCUCCCAUGAGGGAAACUCCCAUCUGACCUGGGAAGACAUUCAAGGUCAUGCCUACCUGGUCCACUGAAGUGGUUAACAACCACAGUCUGUUGACUCAUCCUCUUUGCUUCCUGCUCUCCUGCAAGGGUCCUUGUAACCCAGUUGCCAGCUGGGGCCUCCAUCUUUGAACUCUGGAAAAGACUGCUCCUGAUCCCCAAUUCCACAGUCCAGGGAAGUCCAAAGCAAUUCUGCUGUGAAUUUUCCUGGUGCUUCUGCUUCUGGGAUCUUGCAACUGUGUAAGCCAUCCUGAUUCAAAAGCCCUAUGUCAACCUCCAUAUACAACUCAGCCCUUCACUGUGUCCACAAGAGAUCCACUCAAGUGAAUAUCUGGGAACAUAGCAGAGGGAGAGGGUCAUAUCACACAUUCUGAAGACUUCUUAUUGGCUUCUUUCUCUUAUUUAUGUCACAUCUUCCUCCAGAGUUUCCAAAAGCCUCCUUUCUCCUUCACUGUGUGUGUCCCCCAUCUGAUUCUGUUUCCUGCUAACACUCAGAUCUUCCACACUCCUCAUCCUACCCUGACAACAUUCUACAUGUUUUUCCCCCCAACAAAGCAGUUCUCACCCUUAGAGGAAUUCUAGUGUCAACUCUUAAUAAAAAAUUUCCUGAUCUCA